rnacentral:rRNA from 1 species
UACACUCCUGCGGGAGGCAGCAGUGGGGAAUAUUGGACAAUGGGCGCAAGCCUGAUCCAGCCAUGCCGCGUGAGUGAUGAAGGCCCUAGGGUUGUAAAGCUCUUUCACCGGUGAAGAUAAUGACGGUAACCGGAGAAGAAGCCCCGACUAACUUCGUGCCAGCAGCCGCGGUAAUCCGAAGGGGGCUAGCGUUGUUCGGAUUUACUGGGCGUAAAGCGCACGUAGGCGGACUAUUAAGUCAGGGGUGAAAUCCCGGGGCUCAACCCCGGAACUGCCUUUGAUACUGGUAGUCUUGAGUUCGAGAGAGGUGAGUGGAAUUCCGAGUGUAGAGGUGAAAGUCGUAGAUAUUCGGAGGAACACCAGUGGCGAAGGCGGCUCACUGGCUCGAUACUGACGCUGAGGUGCGAAAGCGUGGGGAGCAAACAGGAUUAGAUACCCUUGUAGUCCCA